rnacentral:rRNA from 1 species
CAGUAGCCGCGGUAAUACAGAGGGUGCGAGCGUUAAUCGGAUUUACUGGGCGUAAAGCGUGCGUAGGCGGCUUCUUAAGUCGGAUGUGAAAUCCCUGAGCUUAACUUAGGAAUUGCAUUCGAUACUGGGAAGCUAGAGUAUGGGAGAGGAUGGUAGAAUUCCAGGUGUAGCGGUGAAAUGCGUAGAGAUCUGGAGGAAUACCGAUGGCGAAGGCAGCCAUCUGGCCUAAUACUGACGCUGAGGUACGAAAGCAUGGGGAGCAAACAGGAUUAGAUACCCCUGUAGUCCCUGUAUCUUAUAA